rnacentral:rRNA from 1 species
CCUACGGGGCGCAGCAGUGAAGAAUAUUGGUCAAUGGCCGGAAGGCUGAACCAGCCAAGCCGCGUGAGGGAGGAAGGCGCCGAGCGUCGCAGACCUCUUUUGCCGGGGGACAAAAGGCCGGACUCGUCCGGUCCUGAGGGUACCCGGAGAAAAAGCAUCGGCUAACUCCUUGCCAGCAGCCGCGGUAAUACGGAGGAUGCGAGCGUUAUCCGGAUUCAUUGGGUUUAAAGGGUGCGCAGGCGGGCCUUUAAGCCGGCGGUGAAAUCGCGGGGCUAAACCCCGCCGAGCCGUCGGAACUGGGGGCCUUGAGUGAGGCGGAGGCAUGCGGAAGGCGCGGUGUAGCGGUGAAAUGGAUAGAUAUCGCGCAGAACCCCGAUUGCGAAGGCAGCGUGCCGUGCUGCGACUGACGCUGAGGCACGAAAGCGCGGGGAUCGAACAGGAUUAGAUACCUGGGUAGUC